rnacentral:rRNA from 1 species
CCUACGGGCGGCAGCAGUGAGGAAUAUUGGUCAAUGGGCGCAAGCCUGAACCAGCCAAGUAGCGUGAAGGAAGACGGCCCUAUGGUUUGUAAACUUCUUUUAUAAGGGAAUAAAGGUAGACUCGUGUGGAUUUUUUGAUGUACGUUAUGAAUAAGAAUCGGCUAACUCCGGGCCAGCAGCGGCGGUAAUAUGGAGGAUGCGAGCGUUAUCCGGAUUUAUUGGGGUUAAAGGGAGCGUAGGGGGGUUGUUAAGUCAGUUGUGAAAGUUUGUGGCUCAACCGUAAAAUUGCAAUUGAUACUGGGAGGCUUGAGUACUGUUGGGGGAGGCGGAAUUCGUGGUGUAGCGGUGAAAUGCUUAGAUAUCAGGAAGAACUCCGAUGGCGAAGGCAGCUUACUAAGA